rnacentral:piRNA from 1 species
UAUAGCAAGGUGACUCAGUUUGGCA